CAGCAGCCGCGGGAAUACAGAGGGUGCGAGCGUUAAUCGGAUUUACUGGGCGUAAAGCGUGCGUAGGCGGCUUCUUAAGUCGGAUGUGAAAUCCCUGAGCUUAACUUAGGAAUUGCAUUCGAUACUGGGAAGCUAGAGUAUGGGAGAGGAUGGUAGAAUUCCAGGUGUAGCGGUGAAAUGCGUAGAGAUCUGGAGGAAUACCGAUGGCGAAGGCAGCCAUAUGGCCUAAUACUGACGCUGAGGUACGAAAGCAUGGGGAGCAAACAGGAUUAGAUACCCGAGUAGUCCCUGUCUCUUAUAC
rnacentral:rRNA from 1 species